rnacentral:rRNA from 1 species
UUUAUGGAGAGUUUGAUCCUGGCUCAGGAUGAACGCUGGCGGCGUGCCUAAUACAUGCAAGUCGAGCGAACAGAUAAGGAGCUUGCUCCUUUGACGUUAGCGGCGGACGGGUGAGUAACACGUGGGUAACCUACCUAUAAGACUGGAAUAACUCCGGGAAACCGGGGCUAAUGCCGGAUAACAUGUUGAACCGCAUGGUUCUACAGUGAAAGACGGUCUUGCUGUCACUUAUAGAUGGACCCGCGCCGUAUUAGCUAGUUGGUGGGGUAACGGCCUACCAAGGCGACGAUACGUAGCCGACCUGAGAGGGUGAUCGGCCACACUGGAACUGAGACACGGUCCAGACUCCUACGGGAGGCAGCAGUAGGGAAUCUUCCGCAAUGGGCGAAAGCCUGACGGAGCAACGCCGCGUGAGUGAUGAAGGUCUUCGGAUCGUAAAGCUCUGUUGUUAGGGAAGAAC